GAUCCUGGCUCAGGAUGAGCGCUAGCGACAGGCUUAACACAUGCAAGUCGAGGGGCAGCACAGGUAGCAAUACCGGGUGGCGACCGGCGCACGGGUGGGUAACGCGUAUGCAACUUGCCUAUCAGAGGGGGAUAACCCGGCGAAAGUCGGACUAAUACCGCAUGAAGCAGGGGUCCCGCAUGGGGAUAUUUGCUAAAGAUUCAUCGCUGAUAGAUAGGCAUGCGUUCCAUUAGG
rnacentral:rRNA from 1 species